rnacentral:tRNA from 1 species
AACGCGAUGGCCGAGUGGUUAAGGCGUUGGACUUAAGUUCCAAGGACGCAAGUCUUCGUGGGUUCGAACCUCUCUCGCGCUA